AGUUUGAUUAUGGCUCAGAUUGAACGCUGGUGGGAUGCUUUACACAUGCAAGUCGAACGGCAGCACGGGACUUCGGUCUGUGGCGAGUGGCGAACGGGUGAGUAAUGUAUCGGAACGUGCCUAGUAGCGGGGGAUAACUACGCGAAAGCGCUUAAUACCGCAUACGCCCUUCGGGAAAAGCGGGGGACCUUCGGGCCUCGCACUAUUGGAGCGGCCGAUAUCGGAUUAGCUAGUUGGUGGGGUAACGGCUCACCAAGGCGACGAUCCGUAGCUGGUUUGAGAGGACGACCAGCCACACUGGGACGGAGACACGGCCCAGACUCCUACGGAGGCAGUGGGGAAUUUUGGACAAUGGGGGAAACCUUCGAUCCAGCCAUCCCGCGUGUGCGAUGAAGGCCUUCGGGUUGUAAAGCACUUUUGGCAGGAAAGAAACGGCACGGGAUAAUACCCCGUGCAACUGACGGUACCUGAAGAAUAAGCACCGGUUAACUACGUGCCAGCAGCUGCGGUAAUACGUAGGGUGCAAGCGUUAAUCGGAAUUACUGGGCGUAAAGCGUGCGCAGGCGGUUCGGAAGAAAGAUGUGAAAUCCCAGAGCUUAACUUUGGAACUGCAUUUAACUGAGCUAGGAGUGUGUCAGAGGGAGGUGGAAUUCCGCGUGUAGCAGUGAAUGUAGUGUAGAUAUGCGAGGAACACCGAUGGCGAAGGCAGCCCUGGGAUAACACUGACGCUCAUGCACGAAAGGGAGCGCAACAGUGAUUGAUACCUGGUGGCCCACGCCCUAAACGAUGUCAACUAGCUGUUGGGGCCUUUCGGGCCUUGGUAGCGCAGCUAACGCGUGAAGUUGACCGCCUGGGGAGUACAUCGCAAGAUUAAAACCCAAAGGACUGACGGGGACCCGCACAAGCGGUGGAUGAUGUGGAUUAAUCUGAUGCAACGCGAAAAACCUUACCUACCCUUGACAUGUCUGGAAUCCCGAAGAGAUUUGGAGGUUUCUGCAAGAGAACCGGAACACAGGUGCUGCAUGGCUGUCGUCAGCUCGUGUCGUGAGACGUUGGGUUAAGUCCCUGGCAACGAGCGCAACCUCCCUUGUCAUUAGUUGCUACGAAAGGGCACUCUAAUGAGACUGCCGGUGACAAACUGGAGGAAGGUGGGGAUGACGUCAAGUCCUCAUGGCCCUUAUGGGUAGGGCUUCACACGUCAUACAAUGGUCGGGACAGAGGGUCGCCAACGGCGAGGGGAGCCAAUCCCAGAAACCCGAUCGUAGUCCGGAUCGCAGUCUGCAACUCGACUGCGUGAAGUCGGAAUCGCUAGUAAUCGCGGAUCAGCAUAGUCGCGGUGAAUACGUUCCGGGUCUUGUACACCGCCCGUCACACCAUGGAGUGGGUUUUACCAGAAGUAGUUAGCUUCCAACUGCAAGGGAGGGCGAUUGCUUCAUUGCAGGAUCUUAUUCUGAAGUGAAGCUGUAACAAAGGCGAAUUUC
rnacentral:rRNA from 1 species